GUGAGACGUUGCGUGUUUCCGACUUUUUCAGUGACAAUCACAGUGGGAAUGGGCUCGAGAUACUUGUGACAGACGUCAAAAAUUUUUCUCCUCUUUCUCCAACAAUUUCUUCCAGACUUCUACGCUUCCAUCUCCCCGAGUCCUUCUACCUCUCCUUCCCUGCCAGUCUCAUCAUCUCAUUCUCGGGUAAAUUGGGUUACCCACGAUCAUAAAAGGAAAAAAAUGAAGAUUGCUUCUCCUUUUAAACUCCAUGUACUCCUCUUCUCAGAAAUUCUCAGCAUCAUCAUCAUCGCAUUUGUUUCCAGAAGAGGAGAUGGGGAUUGGGUGUGUGUUUCUGUGUGUGAAAAUGGCGGAGAAAGAAAGAUGCAAAUUCAGGGCUUUUGGAUUUGUACAUAUGCCAAUUGAAGAUUCAGAUUUUUGGGGUUUUUACUGUAUUCAGAUGGGGGAUCGGCUGUGCGUUUGGGCCUUUCAAAAGUACAGCAAAAGGAAGGCGUAAAUUAAUGUUCUUUCACUUGUUAAAAUGUUAGUUGAACAUUCAGGUGAAUGAUAUCUACUGAUAUCUUUAAUUCUUUUAUUUUUCUUUUCUAAAUGGUGUUUGAAUUUUAUCAAUUUAUUUUCUCAGUAUUGCUAAUCUUUUCUGACUAAAUGAUCUUUUUUCUUGCUUUUUUCCAGAGCUGAAACGGGUAACUUUUUUAUUUGUUUUGUUACAGAUUUAUGGACUUCAGAAUUUUGGGAGAUGGGAAUUUAGUUUAUUGGCAUAGAAUUGUUUUAGAGUAAAUUUGAAUUUAUGAAAAUUUGGGUUUAAGAUUGCUAUAUUACAGAAAGUGAUUCAGGGUUAAAUCUCGAUUAUGGUGUUCCAGGAUCUGUAACUUUGCUUGGCAGAUUAGGUUUUUCGGCAUAAAUCUUGAUUAGGUUUCCUAGGAUAUGUAACUUUACUUGGUGGAUCAUGGUUUUAGGAUUUUUAUGAUUUUCAGUAGCUUCAAACCCGAGAUUUUUAAUGUGCCUCUGAUCACUUGAUUUGUUUGAUAAUUUCGAAAACAGAUCAUAUAGAAGGGGAAGUUAUGUGCAAAAUCUUUUGUUUUUAAUUUUUUAAUUUUUAUGGUUUGUCAGUUUUGGUCAUGUACUAUUACAUUGGAGGAGUUAGUUUUAGAUUUUGACACUUUUUAGUAGCUACUGUUGUAGUGAUAUCUCACUUUUGCAUGAUUUAUUAGUAAAAUGAAUACUUUAAGUUGCUUGCUGUUUGUGCUCAUAGUUUGAGAGUGACUAGACAUUAAGCUAUGCUAUUUAAUGACUUUAGUAGAUUGUGAAUUUGUGAUGCUUGUGCUUUUUACAUUGGCGCAAUAGAUCAAGUGAUGAAUUUCAGGCUGCUUUUCUUUUGUGGUCAUCAUUGGAGAGUGAUUUUAUCUUUCAAACUUCUGCUAUUUAAUCAUCUGGGAAGACUUGUAACUUUGCAGGGGUACUGUCUUUUUACUUGAUUGUGAUCUUUUAACCAUGUUGAUUAUUGAUCAAUCACUGUCAAGAAUGUUUUAGAUUGCUCGCUUGUUGUGGUCAUAGAUUGGAAGCGUUUUUGCCUUGCAUCAACGUUUUUCUUGCAUCAUGUCCUUUUCUAUUGCUAUAUGGCUGUUUUCUUUUCAUAGUCCUUAUUUAAGUCUGAUGGUUCCUGGCUAUUCAUUCAUAUUGUUCCAGAGUCCUAGAUGGUAGUUGUGGUUGGUAAAAAGCGCAAAUCUGUUCCAUUUGUAAUUUGACAAAUUGGAAUUUAGUUUUCCGGAUAAGUUGACUUAUACUCUCAUGUUAGUUUAAUUGUGCCACAUAAUAAUGUCCGGAGCAGUAUUUCAUUUCUCUAUAUACAUGAGUCAUUGUUGGAUUUAGUAUCCUGAUUUUAGUUAAUAGAUGAAUGCUGAGUAGCUUUGCUGCAUACUCAUGAAUUAUUGCUGGAUGUAUACGCUUCAAGGAAGAUGGAUUCUUCCUUGUCUAACUUCUAUUACAUCCAUCUACUUUUUUAAGUUAAACUCUGUUUUUAUUAAAUGUCUAAUUAUACGCCUUUUUUGUAUUUGUUUAUAGUUUUGUGAAGACUUGUGCUUUUAAUUUUCGCUAACUAAUGCCUAUCAGUGUACAUAGUUAAGGGUGUUGACUAUCGUGCUUUCUAGGGCCCAUUAAUUGGCUGGUUUGUUUGUCUCAAGUGAUUAGCAAUCUAGCAUCCGAGGACUAACUGAUUGUGAUUUUCAAAAUGUAUACACUGUUGCAGUUCUGUCGAUUCUUUCAAAUUGCUUGCAUUCGUUUAGGUCUCAAUUUGAGAGUGCUUCUUGCUUUGAGUUUUUUUUCAUGGGGAUACUUGUUUUUUUUGUCAUCUUGUUUAUGUCUCAUGGGCUAUAGUCAUUUUGUUUUCACAAUUCUAGAAUUAACAGUGGUUCUAAAAAUGCAGAGCUGUUUGUUUUUCAUGUGAAAAGCUCUGGUUGGGUUUUAUUGGUGCUUAAAUUGGGAUGCUUUUAGAUACAACUCUUCUAUCAGUAGUUUUUCAAAUUUGUACUUGUGCCAAUGUCUUAGGACAGUUUUGGUCUGUCAUGUAGAAGAAGAAGUUAUUAUUGAAAAGUUUACUGACUUUAGGUACUAAGUAUAGAACAGAAUAGACAGAUGGACGAACACACUCCAGCCAAUAACGAUUGGCCACAUCAGCAACACAAUCAUCCCUUUUGAGCCAUGGCAUUUGUCCUUUUACAUAUAUGUUAAAGAAAUUGAAGAGAGAAAAAGCUUCUGAAAUUGAAGAGAGAAAAAGUGCAGUUUUCUUUGUGAGGAUGAGGAAGAAGACGAGAAGAAAGAGAAAGUAAAGGGUUAGAGAGAGGGAGUCGGAUGGUUAAUGAAAGGAGUGGAGAAAAGGGAACCCGCUACCAUCACUGAAAAGUUGGGAGCAGGCAACCUUCUCCCAUCAAUCACAUCUGCAUUUGUUUGUUUGAAAAAGAAGGUGGAAGGUUGUAUGUUUCUCUAAUGCUUCUCAAAGAUGACUCCGGAUCAGAGUCCAAAAUUUGGAAAUUUUCUUCUGUCCUUUCCAAGAACUACUCCAGAAUAUAGCAGCACGACUCAAUACCGUAUCCAGCCUACUUUGUGUAAAAUUAAAGAGGUUACAUCGGACUUUAUAACUUGUUGCUUUUCCGUUAUUACAGGAUCCAAGUAACUAACUCUACAUCAAUUCUUUGGAAGUUGAUGCUAAGGCAUGUGUAGACUUCGUGGCAAAAGUAGUUGGAGUAACUUCGGGACCAAAAGGAAGAAUUUUGGUGUUGCAGAUUAAAUUGCAUCCCAAGAUUGUUAAAGAUACUGAAAGUGUUUUAAACAGAUUGAUUGGAGGAUGCUUUGGAGUAUGUGGGAGUUAAAUUAGCGAGGCAGGACGGUGCAAAUGUUGCUGAAUUUGUUCUCAUCUUCGCUCCAAUUUAUUUUUGUCCGAUCUCUAAUUUGACCUAUUUUUUUAUUGUUGUCUACAUUGCUCUCUUUAAUUAAAGUUAUCAAGGUUAAAGGUGACUUUGCUGCCGCUAUCAAUUGCUUUUGAAAUUGCCAUUAUUGUGUCAAAGCAAUUUAAAAUGUUCCAUUUUCACUUUUCAUUGUGUGUGUUUUUUUUUCAGGAUGAAACAUAUUCAGCUCUCAUAUGGGAUUUGAUAAAACUACCAAAAUGCUUGUUUCAGAACUCAAAUUGGCAUCAGGGAGGAAAUGAUUAUGCAGUAGGAAACAGGACUUCCGACUCUUUUCAAAAGUAGGAAGAGAAUUAAUAAGAAGUGAGACAUGGAGCUAUGGUAAAAAUAGCCUGCACAUUGUAGAGGGGAUGGAAUUUGAUCGCGGAUAUUUUUCUCCUUGACAUGAUUGGAGUUUUGGAUCUCAUAUUUCUAUCUGUUGGUGUAUGGUAUUUAAGAGGGGAAACUUCUGUAUUCGCAAUUGCUUUUGGUUGCCUAAAACAUCGCAUGGAUAUUUUGAAACGAUACUAGGAAGUCUCCAAUCGUGAUAGUUGCAUACAACAUUGAGGAGGAAGAUCAGGCUCCGUCAUUAAUAGAAUAAUCUCAUUCGAUGGGCCAUGCCAAUCUCGUAUAACCUCACCGCGCGCUGCGCGGUGCUUACCCUCCUAGUUACACCACAACUGUGAUCCACCACUUGUUCAUAGAAACAUCGAUGCUAGUAGCAUACUUCUUGAUGAUGAUUUUGAAGUGCGGCUGGGGAGACUCCAUGAGGUCUGUACUCAAGCGAAAGAGACGAAUGGGAGUAGGUUUUCCAGGGGUUUUGAGAGAAGUAUUUCUGGUACAUUUGAUGCAACGUGUGCCUAUGAUGUUUACUGCUUUGGAAUGGUCUUGCUUGAGCUGGUCACAGGCAGGAUGAAAUUUAGCCUUGCCAAUUAUCGUAUGACAAAGGAUAGCAUGGCAAACACCUUGUCCAAUGUUAGUUCGCAGGAUAAGAAACUUAUUCUAAACAUCGUAGAUGGGUCUUUAACCAUAGAUGAGGUUCUUUUGAAGGAAAUCUGGGCUGUAGCUUUUGUUGCCAAGGCAUGCCUGGAUCCCAAGCCUUCUAAGCGGCCACAAAUGUCAAAUGUACUCGAGGCUUUACACAAUCCUUCAACUGUUACAAAUGGCUCGUGGAAAGGAAAAAGAAUCGGAUUG